CUUUCUGAUGAUGAUUAAUCUAAAUACUUUUGUUCUUCUGAUAUGCUAUUUCAUAGUGCUGUGCGGAGGCAAUUUGGAGACCUGAACUGAGGAAAU
rnacentral:snoRNA from 1 species